GAUUAACGCUUUCGGCGUGCCUAGCUCAUUCACGUCGAGCGAACGGACUACUAGCUUGCUUCUCUGAUGUUAGCUGCGGCCGCGCUUGUAACACUUUUAUAACCUACCUAUAAGCCUGGGCUUACCUCCCCAACCCGGAGCUAAUCCCGGAUAAUCUUUUUAACCGCAUGGUUCAAUAGUGAAAUACGGUCUUGCUGUCACCUAUAGCUGGAUCCGCGCUGCAUUAGCUAGUUUGUAAGGUAACGGCUUACCAAGGCUACGAUGCAUAGCCGACCUGAGAGGGUGAUCGGCCACACGGGAACUGAGACACGGUCCAGACGCCUACGGGAGGCAGCAGUAGGGAAUCUUCCGCAAUGGGCGAAAGCCUGACGGAGAAACGCCGCGUGAGUGAUGAAGGAAUUCGGAUAGGAAAACUCUGUUAGUAGGGAAGAACAUAUGUGUAAGUAACUGUGCACAUCUUGACGGUACCUAAUCAGAAAGCCACGGCUAACUACGUG
rnacentral:rRNA from 1 species